GAUACAUGUCGUGUUUAAUUAGAUACAUUGUAAAAUUUUAUUUAAAAUUAACGAUCGAACUGAAGUAUAUUGGGUUGCAUACCUGCGACGUCCGCCUUUGCUGAAUAAUUAAUUAUUGUUUGUACUAGUACGUUUAUUAAUUCUAAAAUUGAAGCGUUCUUGUAUAUAGCGUAGAUCACUGUGGAUGGACUGUUGGAGGUAUUUGGGGAGAACGAACCAAUGGAUUUAUUUUAAAUUAUUGCUCUGGAUAGAGCAAAAAGUUUUGCAUAAUUUUGAGGAAUUUAUUUUCUGCUUAAUUUUUGUAUCAUUUGUUUACUCUGUUAAUUGAAUUUAAUUUGAGUUAAUUUCCGUAAAAUUUGCCCAUAUGCCUAUAUCGACCUAUAUCUUCAAGUGUAUAACCUACUCAAGAAAAAACUGAUUGUCAUCGUGCAUGUGUGUUAAGAAGUCCCUUUAGGCGUAAAUAGAAAACUCACCAGUAAAACCCUUAAAACUAUAUAAAUUGGGUAAUAUUUCAAAUACCUGAUGAACAUGGAUGAAUAACUCAAUUCUACAGGGUGUGAUGAAUAAAAAACCGGAAGAUGCUGGCAGCUCAGAAUUGACCAAGUUUUUUUACUCCACAUCAUUUAGUUUCUAUAAAUAUCUACACGAAGGUUUCAAAGAGAAAUAUUUAUGUAGGCCUCGUGAUAAGAAAAAGGCCCAACAGAAAUCGAUAGACUAUUAAAAAUCAAUGAAAUCCGGUAAAGGCUGCCAGGCUAUUUUUGUUUAUGGUGAAACAUUUCUUAUCGGUAAGGUCGCGAAUCAUUUAAAAGUUCACGAUAAGGUCGGGCUCAUCUGAAUAUCUUUUCUCGGAUUGCACCAGUUUUACAUGGAACACUUCGAAACGUUUUUAAAUGCCGACUCAUUAUCGCCUAUGUGAAAAAAAUAUACAGUUUCGUCACACUUUUCGUAUUUUGGGUAUUUACCAACAGAUGCUGAUGGAGACAACAAUCAGUUCAGAUUGCGCUAAAUAACACGAGCGAUUUUCGCAAUUGCUGUUUUGUAGGUUUAUUGCAAAUAGCUGAGACGAAUCAGCACAUGCGUUUGGACAAAACAAUUUGGUCAUUUCUUGAUGAUGUGCAUUUAUUGCAUCUGAAAGCAUAUCGGGUGUUUCAGUGGAAGGAAGGUCGCUUGGAAUCAAAAUAUCUGUUCAUCCAAUUGUUGAUAAUAUUUUAUUUUGCUUUUCAUUUCUCAUUAAUGAAUGUUGCGUUCCAUCAGAAAAACUGAGAUAAAUGCCAUUUUAGUCACGAGUUGGUUUGGUUAGUUACGUGUUACGUGUUACUUUUUGUGCGAUCAUUAGUUUUUGGGUACAUUUUUGCAAAACAGCACGAAUAUGUUCAAUGUGUGAGUUGUGACUUGAACGUCACAUAUGCUAAUGCCAUUACGGUAAAAGGAAGGACUGUUAAUGUAGCUGAUAAUAAUAACAUUGAUACCUAAAAAAUACAUUUUUAGGUACAACGUUUCCACGUAUCAACGUUCCAGGGAAAAAUGGCAACAUUUUACAUAACUCAUCCUUGGAUGAUAUUUCAGGAUAUUAAAAUUUCAGUGACCUUUUUAAGGAAAUGUUGAUUUGUCAUAUUCACAAAAAUAAGAUAGCUAAGAAUUGAUAUUAUAGGUGAUUUAAAGACCAUAGAUCUAAUGUUGGAGAAGUAAACAUAACAUUAUAUUUAAAAACUGGAAACUGUGAAAAUAUUGUUUUAGAUCCGGCACUGUUAGUAAGUCAUCCCGAAUCAGUAAAUGUUUUAGAGUAAGAAACAGACAAAUUGUAUUUUCGUAGCCUGGAAAAAAAUCGCUUAAUCGCGUAGCAAUAAUAAGCAAUUAUAAAUAAAUAUAAAAAGACGAUUUUGCCAUAAAUUAGCACAGAUUUAGAACAAUAGCAUAGAAUAAUAAGAAUAGACUUACCCCAGCUGAAAAUUCAUACAUAUGAUUGCUUGGCUAAAAGAUGCCAUUGUUUGUGCCAGUCGUCAAUCAAAAAUUGUUAAUAUCAAGGUGUUUACAGAGGCUCAAAUUUGAAAUAUGACUUUCAUAUUAACUACAUGGUUAACAAGAUUAGAAAAGCGAUUUACAAAUUCUGUCAACUGCAAGAAUUCUUGCCUAGAAAAUUAAUUAAAAUAGUUUAUCAAGCACUGGUAGAAUCUAUUUUGCGGUACGGGAUGACUGUACAUGCGCAAGAGUAAUUAAAACAUUAUUUAUUAUUUAUAAAAAAUUAUGUAAAUAGUACUAUUAGGAAUAUAAAACCAUAAAAUAAAAUAAAACACAACUGGAGUUAUAU